rnacentral:rRNA from 1 species
AAAGCGUGCGCAGGCGGUUAUAUAAGACAGAUGUGAAAUCCCCGGGCUCAACCUGGGAACUGCAUUUGUGACUGUAUAGCUGGAGUACGGCAGAGGGGGAUGGAAUUCCGCGUGUAGCAGUGAAAUGCGUAGAUAUGCGGAGGAACACCGAUGGCGAAGGCAAUCCCCUGGGCCUGUACUGACGCUCAUGCACGAAAGCGUGGGGAGCAAACAGGAUUAGAUACCCCAGU